UGUAAAGAAGAAACCAAUCUUCAAAUCAGUUUCAGAUUCCCUGGCUGUAUUUUUCAGCCACGACUGUGACUCGGAAUCUUAGCCACACUUUUUUCUAGAAUAUCAACUGGAUCUCUUUGUAAUAGGAGCCAGACAAUCCCUGGGAUUUCAUCCAGACAUUCCUUUAGUGUGGGCAGCAGCAGCGGAGGAAGGAAGGAAGAAACUUUGGGGGAAAGGAUUUCCUUCAGAAGGUCUUCCCUAGGGGGCGGCAGGCUUGAUAUACUGCUCAGUGGGGACACCUUGGGUUUAUAGUGUUAGGGUCUGGAUACCAAUCAUAAUCCCUAGGAAAUUUGUCAAAAACCCUUAAGAUCCAGUUCCGCCAACUCCCACGUAACACUGAGCCCUAGAGGAACCGUCUAUGCUGAGUUGAGGCACCUCUGGCCCUCCAGAUGUGGUUGGACUCAAAGUACCACCUGCCCAAGCAAGGGUGGCCCAUGGCCAGGGAGGAUGGGAGUCUUAUCUGGGAGGACAAACUUUCUCCCAUCUUCCCCCUCCCCUGAAAACGCUGUAUACCUGUCUUUCAUUUCUUCCUUCCUCCGUUAUCUCCAACAGCUUCCUGAUAUAGUCCAACCAACUGCCCACAUUCCCAAAUCAUCCUGCACCACUGACUUCCCGAGGCGGCUGCAUUGUGUCUAGGACACUGGCAAUGGGACAGCACCUUCCACUGGACGAGAGGAUAGAGGGUUAAAUCAGGGCUGGCCAAAUGGGACUCAGCUCCGUCCCCUCCUUGCCCCCCCUGCAUCUGCUGCUUGAGGGGGCUGCCUGAGUUUCCCUCACGGUGAAGCAGGCCCUGAGAACAGUCUUCUCUCCCCCCCCCAAAAAAAAAAUACGGGAAACACGACAAAGAAGGCCCUGGAGUGUCACCGUGGAACAGGUUGUAAGUCCCUUUGGGCUGCCCUGCCAAGAGAAAGCGACUAAUAGAUUCAAUAAAUAAAUAAAAAUAACAAUUGUAGUAAUAAUUACACAGGCUGGGGGGGGGGAACCCCACCCAUUUCCAUAACAAUCUUGAAUCCCACAGAUUUAAGAGAUUUGAUGUAGCGGGAAUAAUAGAAACCUGGUGGAUGGAGAGGAGGAGUUGGGCCCAGGUGUCUCUGGGGAGGAGCCCUUUAGAUGCUUCUUCACAGAAACACAGGCAUGAGGGAGAGACUGGAGUUGCCCAGAGCGAAGCCUCAAAGGGGGGGAAUAAUAAAGGGGGCUUCCUCCCUUUCCUCUUUCCCCCCAUGGCUGGACUCGCUCUAACAGCCCCCAGCGCCCCCUGCAGCUCCUGAUCUGGGACUUGAGGCAGGGCAAGGACUGAGCUUCAGGGGAGGAGAGGGUGGGGGGAUCGGGGCUCCGCUUCAGGGAUCUCUCCCUGGUCUACGCGGAGUCCUGGCAGAUUCCUGGGCAGGAGGGAGAAAUCAAGGCAGGCGGCCCCCCCAGUCCCUCUCUCUUUCUCCAAGAUGGCUUCCCUUCCUCCCCCAGGGAUGCUCCCUUCCUCCCUCCAGCCCCCCAACUUCCUCUGCCCUCCUCCCCCGCCCCAAGGGUCCCAUUUGUGCCAAAUUGGAGGGGAGGGGAGGGAGACAGGCUGGGGCUCUCUUGCCUCCUUUAACCCUUACAUGGACUUCCUCUCUCCGAUUCUCCACACAAAGGGGACCCACCAAGGCACGCCUUGGCACCCACGGGGAACCAGGAUCAUGGCACCCCAGGGAUUCCUGCCAGGGAGAACCCGGAACUCCCAGAGAGGUGCGGGGUCUCGGUUCAACUCCCAGCCCUGGGGGGGGGGGGCUCCCAUUUCCUUCUUGCACAAGCACCGGGGUUGGGUGGGGGGAAGGGCAGCUGAGCAUCUCUUCUGUGUUUUGACAGAACAGACCCAACAGGAGAUGGUAAUGGGCUGCGAAAUGCUUGGGACUGUGGGGGCUCUCAACUUUGGAGGGCCCUUGAAAUAUGCCUUUAAAUACUAUGGAAUGCAGCGAUGAAUACGGAAAAGGGUCUGAUCUGUCGAGAAGGGUGAAAAACAUUAUCAAGUUGGAGCUACCACGAGCAAGAGACAUUGUCAAGCUGGAGUUACCACGAGUAGGAGAUAAGGGAAAUUACAGUUAUAAAUAUGAAAAAGAGCUGCGGAAGGGCCAUGGAAGUGACCGGAGGGCCUCGGACAUAAGGUUACCGGGCUAGACUGAAG